rnacentral:rRNA from 1 species
UGAGUAAUGUCUGGGAAACUGCCCGAUGGAGGGGGAUAACUACUGGAAACGGUAGCUAAUACCGCAUAACGUCUUCGGACCAAAGUGGGGGGACCUCGGGGCCUCACACCAUCGGAUGUGCCCAGAUGGGAUUAGCUAGUAGGUGGGGUAAUGGCUCACCUAGGCGACGAUCCCUUACCUGGUCUGGAGAGGAUGACCAGCCACACUGGAACUGAGACACGGUCCAGACUCCUACGGGAGGCAGCAGUGGGGAAUAUUGCACAAUGGGCGCAAGCCUGAUGCAGCCAUGCCGCGUGUAUGAAGAAGGCCUUCGGGUUGUAAAGUACUUUCAGUGGGGAGGAAGGCGUUAAGGUUAAUAACCUUGGCGAUUGACGUUACCCGCAGAAGAAGCACCGGCUAACUCCGUGCCAGCAGCCGCGGUAAUACGGAGGGUGCAAGCGUUAAUCGGAAUUACUGGGCGUAAAGCGCACGCAGGCGGUCUGUCAAGUCGGAUGUGAAAUCCCCGGG